AUUUAGCCCAGCAGGGGGGGGAUAUUCAGCCUUGUUAUCACCCUAAGCAAAGCUCUGUUUGGGCUGGACGAAUGUUCACAGAUGAAACAAAAUUCCUCACUUGUGCCCUUUUAGGACAAUGUAUCUUCAGCCUCUGAGGAAAGCUUGUAUCUUGCUGCUUACAGAUUGCUAAGUGUACUUGGAGAUUUGCAUAUGAAGUACGUAUUUCAUAAGGAGUGGGCAAAUGCUGACAACAGGUUUGAUUUAGGAACUAUUUUAGGAACAUUUAUAACAUAACACACUCUUGAACUUGAGUCACCCACUUGUAGCAUCAUGUUGACAUCACCGAUGGUCAGAAGUGGCAGUGUAUCAGUUACUUUGCCCUUUUGUUUGUACAUGGAGGUGACAGAAAUAUGUAGCGGUAUUACUUUUUGAUUUGGAUUUUCAUAAACCCUUUUGCAGGGGGGGACCUUACACACUGGUCCUCAUGUGGUAGCUGGGAGCUUAAACUCAAAUUGUCUUCCAGUCAGGCAUCCGUUAAUCAAGCACAGCUUUUGAAGAGGAGAAGUGUUCCUCCUGCAUAUCCAGUUGUGCUGGCCAUCCAAACCAGUGCCAGAGCCUCUGAAGACAUACACUGAAGAUCACGUACCUUUGCGGACCUGUGGUAACAGCCAAAGGGGCUGCCUAUUUUGAUUUACUAGCAGGGCUUGGAAUAGGGCUGUGGGAGCUGGCGGGAACCUCAGCUCAGUAAUUUCUUGGACUGUGCAAGGGAAUGUGAGUGAGUAUCUACCUGGAGGGAGAAGGAAAACCAGGGUUUUAAGGAAGAUCACAAUCUGACUUCUCUUCGAUCUGUGAAACUAAUACACUUCUUAUGCAGAGCACCUCUAGCUGUAGGGUUUUCACUUUCUGAUUGCUUUCAGUGAAGAUGUUUGGAGUGUUUUCUCUAUGGUACAGUAUGUACAAUGUUUUGUUGAUGGAUCAGGUAAUGUUUGAAUCUUAUAUGAAAAUUUGUGCAAUUAUCUCUCAGAGCUAAAAGGAAGGCCA
rnacentral:lncRNA from 1 species